GGUCUGGUAGUUCAGCUGGUUAGAAUGCCGCCCUGUCACGGCGGAGGUCGCGGGUUCGAGUCCCGUCCAGACCGCAA
rnacentral:tRNA from 1 species